CCUUCGAUAGCUCAGCUGGUAGAGCGGAGGACUGUAGACUGCUGAAAAGUCUGUGGACAUCCUUAGGUCGCUGGUUCGAUUCCGGCUCGAAGGA
rnacentral:tRNA from 1 species